CAUCUAGAUCCAUGUCACUUGGGUCCACAAUAGGUCUGUGUUGUCCUACACAACCAAUCUAGAUCCAUGUCACUUGGGUCCCACAUUAGGUCUGUGUUGUCCUACACACUCCAUCUAGAUCCAUGUCACUUGGGUCCCACAAUAGGUGUGUGUUGUCCUACACACCCCAUCUAGAUCCAUGUCACUUGGGUCCCACAAUAGGUCUGUGUUGUCCUACACACCCCAUCUAGAUCCAUGUCACUUGGGUCCCACAUUAGGUCUGUGUUGUCCUACACACCCCAUCUAGAUCCAUGUCACUUGGGUCCCACAAUAGGUCUGUGUUGCCUUACACACUCCAUCUAGAUCCAUGUCACCUGGGUCCCACAAUAGGUCUGUGUUGUCCUACACACUCCAUCUAGAUCCAUGUCACUUGCGUCCCACAAUAGGUCUGUGUUGUCCUACACACUCCAUCUAGAUCCAUGUCACUUGGGUCCCACAAUAUGUCUGUGUUGUCCUACACACUCCAUCUAGAUCCAUGUCACUUGGGUCCCACAAUAGGUCUGUGUUGUCCUACGCACUCCAUCUAGGUCCAUGUCACUUGGGUCCCACAUUAGGUCUGUGUUGUCCUACACACUCCAUCUAGAUCCAUGUCACUUGGGUCCCACAAUAGGUCUGUGUUGUCCUACACACCCCAUCUAGAUCCAUGUCACCUGGGUCCCACAAUAGGUCUGUGUUGUCCCACACUGAUCCAUGUCACUUGAGUCCCACAAUAGGUCUUUGUUGUCCUACACACUCCAUCUAGAUCCAUGUCACUUGGGUCCCACAAUAGGUCUGUGUUGUCCCACACUCCAUCUUGGUCCAUGUCAGCCGGAUUCCAUGUUAGGUCUGUGUUGUUCUAUACGCCAUCUAGAUCCAUGUCAGUUGGGUCCCACAUUAGGUCUGUUUUGUUCUACACUUAAUCUUGAUCCAUGUCACCUAGGUCUGACACUAGGUCUGCAUUGUUCUACACUCCAUCUUGAUCCAUGUCACCUAGGUCCCACAUUAUAAAACAGAAUUAGGAGACCAGUCUCUGAAGUCUUAUCAUCUGAUUGGUCAGUUUUAAAUGUGUUCUCGGAGGUGACCAAAGAAAAGACUGUAUUCCCGGACUGGUCUAGAAACUCAGUUUUGUAAGUUAAAGCCCAGUAAUUUAUUUGAUCCACUGUAGCCUUAUUUUAUUUUGUGAUGUAUUUUCAGUGAUAUUCUCUAUAGUUUAUUGUUGUUACUUGCACUAUUUGUUGUGAAAAAUACAAUUUAUGUCUAGACAUAUUUCAGUGAAAUAAAAAAAUAUCUGGACAAA
rnacentral:lncRNA from 1 species